ensembl:lncRNA
CUUGCAUUCACUUGUGCGUUGUUACACUGCAUAAUGGCGACAGGUGAGAAAAGAGCAAAAAAAAACGUAAUUUCUCAGACACUGACAUACACAUACUUGUAGGGGAGGUGGAGGCCCGGAAAACAACAUUAUUUGGUGGCCACAGCAGUGGGAUCACUAAUAAAAAGAAGCAGUGCGAGUGGCAACGUGUUGCUGCUUCUGUCAACUGCAUCAGUGGGACAGAACAGACAGUUGCAGAACUAAAGGAAAAGUGGUCCGAUCUGAAGUUAUAUAAUGGUAGAGUACUUGAUGCUAUCCUGUACUCCAUCCUGCCCUGCCAUCUCCACCUGCACUCCCGUAAAAGAAGAAGAAGAAGAAGAAGAAGAAGAAGAAGAAGAAGAAGAAGAAAGUCUGGUCAGCAUUCUAUUAAGAGAGUUAACUUAAAGUCUAAGGGACAGUCUCAAGCCUCCCUGUUUUCAUUCAAAAUAUCUUAAAUUGUGUUCCGAAGACGAACGAAGCUUUUACAGGUCUGGAUCGACAUGGGGAAAUCCAGAACAGCAACCUCAAUCAGGGCUAAUCCACUCUGGGCAGCGGCAGGAGAUAUCACUGCCUGGGAAAGCUUGGGCCUCUUCCUUUGUUUUGUUGUUCUGGACCACCAUGCCAACAUUUGAAAUUCAUCUGCACCUUCUACCUCUCCUUCCACCCUGUUGUCCACUUCCUCUAUAUCCAUGUCUUCUUACAGUGUCUCCUCAUGCUCUUUCCACUACACCAAUACCCUCUUCUCUAAUCAUCUCUUCUCCAUUUCCUUCUCCUCUCCUCUUCUCUUUUCUCACAUCUUCCUCUCUGCUCAUCUCUUUCUAGCUGUUUCACUCUUCAUCUUCUCUUUCAUUAUGCCCC